rnacentral:rRNA from 1 species
AGAGAUGUGUGAUGACGCAUAUCAAUAAGCGGAGGAAAAGAAACUAACAAGGAUUCCCUUAGUAACGGCGAGUGAAGCGGGAAGAGCUCAAAUUUGAAAUCUUCAAGGUUCUACCUUGACGAAUUGUAGUUUAUAGAAGUGUUUUCUGUUAGUAGAGUGGCAAAAGUUCUUUGGAAUAGGACAUCAUAGAGGGUGAGAAUCCCGUAUUUGGUCAUUCUUUCUAGCUUUGUGAUACACUUUCAACGAGUCGGAUUGUUUGGGAAUGCAGUCCAAAAUGGGUGGUAAAUUUCAUCUAAAGCUAAAUAUUGGCGAGAGACCGAUAGCGAACAAGUACCGUGAGGGAAAGAUGAAAAGAACUUUGAAAAGAGAGUUAAACAGUACGUGAAAUUGUCAAAAGGGAAGCGUUUGACACCAGUGUUGUUUUUCCGAAAAUCAAUUACGAAUGUUUUAUUUUUGAGAAGUUAUGACUUCAUCGGCUUGCUUCUCUCUUUAUGAAACUUUCUUAAUGCACUUUUCGGUUAACAAGUCAACAUCAAUUUCUUUUGUUGUAAAAGGGUAUGAGGAAGGUGGCUUUCUUUUCGGAGAAAGUGUUUAUAGCCUUGUGCCUCUGCAAUCGGAGAGAUUGAGGUCUGCAGCGUAGAUCCUUCGGGGUUAGAUACAUUUGUGCUAAGUUAUAGCUUUUCAUAGACAACUUGUUGACUAUGUUAAGUCUUGUAGCUUACUCGCUUAUGCUAUUUUACCUACGCUUAGGAUGUUGAUCUGUAGUGCGUGCGC